rnacentral:rRNA from 1 species
CCUACGGGAGGCAGCAGUGAGGAAUAUUGGUCAAUGGUCGGGAGACUGAACCAGCCAAGCCGCGUGAGGGAUGAAGGUACAGAGUAUCGUAAACCUCUUUUGUCAGGGAACAAAGGCGGGGACGUGUCCCCGGAUGAGUGUACCUGAAGAAAAAGCAUCGGCUAACUCCGUGCCAGCAGCCGCGGUAAUACGGAGGAUGCGAGCGUUAUCGGGAUUUAUUGGGUUUAAAGGGUGCGCGGGCGGUCUGUUAAGUCAGCGGUAAAAGCCCGGGGCUCAACCCCGGCCCGCCGUUGAAACUGGCAGUCUCGAGUUGGAGAGAGGUAUGCGGAAUGCGCGGUGUAGCGGUGAAAUGCAUAGAUAUCGCGCAGAACUCCGAUUGCGAAGGCAGCAUGCCGGCUCCACACUGACGCUGAGGCACGAAAGCGUGGGUAUCGAACAGGAUUAGAUACCCUAGUAGUC